rnacentral:misc_RNA from 1 species
UGUACCUUUUCUUGAUCUGGGUCGCUCAUAUCGAUCACCUGUACGCCAGGGUCGAGCCCAUGAACGGUGGUGAGUGCAGGCUGCUCCUGUUCCGAUCUAAUAUAUGCUUCAGGGAUGUUGUCUCUGAAGGUAGAGGCAAUGCCUUGUACUCUUUCCACCUGCAUUGAGAUUCCAAUAUAAUCUUCUUUUUUAUUAUUUUUUUUCUCUGUUUCUUGGUUAAUUUGUUCUUAUAUAAUGGAUGGAAAGAGUAAAAUGUGUGAUCAUUUACUACUGUUUUAAUUAAUUUUUCAGUUGAAAGAUGGAGAACUUAAUUGAAUCUGACCAAAAAUUAUUCAACUUAAAUUAAGCUAAAUUAGUUAUAAGUUCUGUUUUAAUGUCCUUAAAUUGCGGUUUUCUUAAAGAUAACAUUUAACCAAAUCCAUUAAUAAAAGUCUAAAUUUUAACAGCUGUGUCACGACCCAACCUAUGGG